AAAAUACGGGAGGCAGCAGUGGGGGAAUUUUUGGACGAAUGGGGGCAACCCUGAUCCAGCCAUGCCGCGUGUAUGAAGAAGGCCUUCGGGUUGUAAAGUACUUUGUUAGGGAAGAAAAGGGAAGUGCUAAUACCACUUUUUGCUGACGGUACCUAAAGAAUAAGCACCGGCUAACUACGUGCCAGCAGCCGCGGUAAUUUUU
rnacentral:rRNA from 1 species